rfam:Salmo salar isolate Sally breed double haploid chromosome ssa22, whole genome shotgun sequence.
UGCAUUCACUACUGUAAGUCGCUCUGGAUAAGAGCAUCUGCUAAAUGAGUCAAA